CUUUGUUGAAACUACACUAAAAUCUUUCUUUUGCUUUAAAAGGAUAUGAGGCAACUUCCCCAGACUUUCUUCUGUUAAACACACAACGCCCUCUCCUCUCCUCAGCUCCAAAGAAGCCGCAGACUGCACAUAUACAGACACCAG
rnacentral:lncRNA from 1 species